rnacentral:lncRNA from 1 species
AUGAGCAAUAGGACAAAGCAGAAGAUGCUUAUUCUCUUAAUUUCACUUAAUAUCCUCUCAGUACAUUAUGUGCUGAGCUCUUCAGAUACAAAAAUAGUGUCUUGCCCUGUCACUGAUAAUUCAAGUCAGAUGUAUGAAAUUUUCCUUGGUCUGAAAUUCCUGAUUGUCACUUCCUUCUAGACUCUCCUCUCUGAUUCUUAUUACUGCCUCCUCAACAUAAUCCCAUUUAAUCUUUACUUUCCUGGAAAUGGUGUUCUCCAUUAUUCUUUCUAUCUAAUUUCAGUCCUUGGUCUUAGAAUUUUUCUUAUUUUAUAAUCUUAUAUUCCACCUACUGAAAGUGUCAGAGUUUAAGAACCUUAGCCAGGCUACUUCUGGAAUUUCAGAGGGCAAUCUUCUCAAUCUUAAUACCUUUAAUUGUCUUGACCACUUUCAAAUCUAAUUUUAAAUACACACACACACACACACACACGCACACAGAAUUAUAUCACAUGACUGAGGAAAGUUGGAAACGCCUUUUCCUUGAAGGUAAAAAUCUCUCUGAUCCCCUUUCAGUCCUGGUUAGGUGCUAGACUAUGUGGAGCAAGGUGCUGAAACAGUAGCCUUGACCAAGAUUCUUCGAGACUUUGGGGGUUAUGUUUGGGCUGUGAUAACUUGCUUAAACCAGUGGCCUCUCCAGCGUCUCAUAUACCAGCUUCCUCACAUAUGCUGCUUCCUCUCAGCUUUCUCUUCUGACUUCUUGUUAUUCUGUGCAAUUAUGUGUUAAGGCCUUACCUUAUCCUAAAUCUUUUCAAACCUCCUGCACUACCUUGAUCAUCACUUCUUUAGCCAUCUCCCUGAAGUCUUUGGUGCUAGGUGGGCUUUUGUGACAACUUUCACCUUCUCUGACCUUUUUCCUUGCUGAGAAGCAUCUGUGUGUGUGCAGGGGGGAGGGAGGGGAAGGGAGGGGAUUAAGCAUGUGUGUAAGAGAGAGAAGCAUAAAGGAUGCUUCAAAAGCUGUAAACAGCUCUGGAUAGCACCCUAUGUCCUGUUAUGUGAGGUUUUGCAGUUCUAGUGAAUUUCUGUUUUACUGGGUCCUAAUGAGCAUUUACUCCCUAAAGGAGAAAGACCACAUCCAAGGACCUCUUAACCAAGCUUGCUCUUACCAAGCUGAGUCAGUCUGAUGCAGAUCUGCCAUAUCUUCAAUUUACAGAUGCUCUCAGAACAGUUCCAAGAAUUGAAGAGAGCUGAGUUUCUUCCCCAAAGAGGAGAAUGGAGCACUAGCUAGUCCUAACUAGUGCUAUAACUGUGUUUGUUUUCUCCUGGAUUUUUAAGAAGUUAUCUAAUUACAGGUGAUUUUUUUUUAUUUAGGAUUUUUCAAUGAUUGCUUAUUAUAGGAAUAUGUCCUUUUUAUGAAAUAAAACUAAUAUGAGAUUUACUUUCUAAUCA